UUACGGCCAGAUCACGUUGAAACACCGGUUCUCGGACGAUCACCGCAGUUAAGCAACUUCGAGCCUGGUUAGUAAUUAUAUUAGUGACCGCUUGGAAAUACUAGCUGC